AACAAGACAACCAGUGGACGGAUGCUUGACACUGUCAUUUUUCAAUGACAACCGGUACCACCAUCAAAUAGUGAGGAGAGCAUUCCAUCACUUCCACCACCUACCAGUGUGGACACCACCCAGCGUCAUUGUAGCAGAAGCAAAUUGGAAACUGGCCUUCGAUGUCCCUCUUGGGACAUUUAAAAGGCCUGAUCCAGACACCAUAGCGGACAAGGACCUACAGGUGGACAUUGUCAAGGCGUGGUCGGAUCUGGACCGUUCACAAAUUGCUGAGGGCCUCAUAUCAGGUUUGGACCAAAUUGUUAAAGUGAUAUAUAUUAUAAUUAUGUAUAUGCUCCACUAACUAAAUCUUUGAACAAAUGAAUGUUCAAUAUGAUAUGUUUUACAAAUAGGGUCCAUAUUGCUUAUCUGUUGGCCACUCCACUUUGGCACCUUGGAUGGGAGAGCACACCAGAGUUGGAAACGUUCUCCCUAAAACAGAAGUUAAAAAAAAGGCAAUGAAAAGGAAAACUGGGGAUUUCAAACAUCCUGCCAAAAAAAAUAAAUGAGGACAUAAUACUUUAACUGAUUGAGUCAAACAAGCCACAGAAAAAGGAUCUCCAGGAAGCUUGUGACACCCUGGGUGUCUCCUCAGAGGGGUCCAUAGCCGACAUGCUGAACAGGCUUCAGGAAUUAUUAAACUUCAAAGAUGUUUACCCAAAGCUGUUUGUGAAACUGCUGGUGGUGAGAUCUUAUUUGUGAAAAUUCUUCUUUUUACAUUCUAUAAACUUUAGUUAUAUGAUUGCCAUUUAAAAUCUUUUAUUCUGAAGGUUGAGUACUUCACUUCAGCUGUCCACAUGGCGUUGUGUAUUACGUCAACAUUCUCUUCUGGACAGAGUCCGCAAGAGAUCACGCGGACGGGCUGCUGAGUUUUAAACACUUCCCUACCUGUUACAUUUCGGACGUUGCAGGACAGGUUGCUCGUCACGCACAAAACAGCAAUAUUUCCAGCCAUUUGACGGAAGACUCUGUGGCACAACAUCAAACAACAUGAAACUGGCGGCUGAUAAACAAUUAAAAAGGUUGACCUGCAGUGGGUGAAGAACCUGCGAUCAACAUUACCACUGCAGGAAAUGCCAGAUAAUGAUAGGAUGGCAGCAAGGCAUCCCAUUAGGUACUCUCUGUACGACAGAUUCCACCAGAAAAAUCAAAGAAGGCCUGAAGAGAAGUUGAGAAGCCUCAACAUCUGCCCCAGUUUACGGAGAGAGGUGAACUCAUCUGUUGCAGAGCAGUUCAAUCGUGAACUUUCUUCCGUAAAAUAUUCAUUGUGCCAAAUGAACGAGCCACACGUCAAACAAACCUUAAGGGUGCUCAUCGAACUGCAUAAUGAAAGGAUAAACACAACCUUCAAAGCACAAAUGGAGGACAUGUGCAACACACAGUUGUACGUUUGACUUCAUGGGAUGCUGGGACUGCAGUCUGCCGAAGCAAAGGAAAAUCCACUUCCUUCGGUGGGCCAAAACAUCGAACAUAAACAAAUGAAGUCGUCAUUCGUUGCACGAUCCUAUGCAAUCACUGUAAAGGACCAGGUAAUCUGUAAAUAUGUGUUAUUUCUUGUUUGUCCAAAAUGAAGCAAUACAUUUUUGAUUUGUAUCAUUUUGUUAUCAUGUGUGUGUGUUAAGGAAAAACUCAAACUAUUCACAGGAUGCCGUGCCGAAACUGCAACUAUAGUUGAAAUAUUGAGGCUAUAUGCAGUGUCUUUAAAAGACAUUGAGUGUUUGCCCACCAGAACUGUUGGGGCUGACUGAUGAUGUAAGGGUACCACAAUGACAACCAUAAUGUCAGUUACAGCAGAAUUUAAAGACCGAACGGUUUUUAUCAGAAUCUCAGAAAUGUACUUAAUCUUCCUAUUGAAUUCCAGGCAGUCAACUAUCGAGUAGCACUGCUGGCUCAAGAAAACCAGGUAACUGUAAAAUUAUCCAUUUAUUAUUAUUUUAUAUUGAUGCUUUUAUAUGUUCACACACAUUAAUUACAUGUUCUGUUGAAGUGUGGUGCUUUGGGUACCUGUUGAUUUCAUUUUGUGGCACCGACAAUGGAACAACAGUGGAGCAGUCAGUGACAGUUGUUAAAUGCAUUCCUGUAGGUACUUUUAAUAAUGGUCUAUGCAUAAUGAAACAAAUUGUAC
ensembl:lncRNA